UUUGUUAUUUCACAUGUCCAUGUAGCUCACGAUGAUGUUGGAAUUCCAGGCGGGUGCUGCCGGACGACGAGAUGGAGCCUGAUCCGGAGGAGAGCCGCAGUCGAGUGACAACGCUAACUUGGAGUGCAUCAAAAGGGACGGUGAUAUUCCAACUCUGCAUCGUUGUGCGAGUGAGCGUCGCUGACACUGCUGGCUAGAGUGGUCUAAUGGCCUGUGUUUUGUCAACAGUUUCAGCCGGGACUCAGUGCUGCUUCUGCUUCCGUGGUUGACGACUCCACUGGCGUGCUGACGUGAACAUCGUGCCGCCGUGACGUCACCUUCAAGAACUAGGCUCACUGCCGAUCCGAUAGCGGACUACAUUUCCCAGAGGCCCCGGUGGUGAUUCGUGCUUAUGACUUUUGAAGUGCCUUAUGGUUCCGAGAUGGGAUUGACUACACGUGUGGUUUUGAGUGGCCAACCCUGAACAUGUCCGCCCCUAUAAGUUUUACCCUCCUGUCUAGAGUGGCGACCCAUGUGUUAUUACAUGAUAAAUAAAUCUGUAUUUUUA